GGCCACGUAGCCAAGAAGUAAGGCGAGUGUCUGCAAAACACUUAUACGUCGGUGCGAAUCCGACCGUGGCCUCAA
rnacentral:tRNA from 1 species